rnacentral:lncRNA from 15 species
UUGUGGAACUGCAGUGUCCAUAACUAAUUUCCUGUAUGUUCCCAUAUAACAUACAUAAUACUUGAUUGAAGUUAUGAAUGAAUUAUUAUUAUUAAGUCUAUUUAUCUCAUUAAAACAUAUUUCCAACAGAUUCCUUUCACAAGAUUCAAGUUCACGGUCAAAAACCACAGAUGAGUCUUCAGCAUUUUGAGGGUGAACACGUUCUCUUUACUUGCUCUCUGCCUGGAUCUGCUUAUAAUGAUACGAGAUGUAACCUGUACUUUGGAGAAGAAAGUGAUCCAGGUGUAACAACAACCAUCUGGAAGAAAAGAAGCUCAACCAAUCAGUGGUUCUGCCAGUUUACCGUCAAAAUUGAUGAUUUGCUGAGACGUCUAAGUUUAAAUCAACAGAGUGAUGCCAGCUGUGAUUACAGUUUGGGAAAUGAAUCCAGCUCUUUGUCUCCUCGUAGUGAUCGAGGCAACUUAACCUACAUUGUGGAAAAAGAAUCAAACUCGGGUCUCACACGAUCAGCAGUUAUUGUGACCACAGGUCUGACUGUUAGCCGGCCUCAUGCUUCCACUCCUGUAACUCCUGCAACACAAACAUCACCUAACAGAAUUAUAGGUCUGACUGUUAGCCGGCCUCAUGCUUCCACUCUUGUAACUCCUGCAACACAAACAUCACCUAACAGAAGUACCGGUCUGACUGUUGGACCAAGUAACACUGAUAGUUUUAUCUCUUCUUCCCUAAUACCAGUGAAACCAGCAUCAGUCACAACUCUCAUGAAUCUGGCAUCAGGCAAUAUUACAGCUCUGACACUAAAUACCGCUAGCACUAAAGCUAGCUUGUUCCCUGAGACGUCACUAAUCCUAGCAUCAGAAACAUGGAUUCGGAAGUCGGUAAUAGUUGUGGCUGGUUUUGGAGUAACUGUGGGUGUUAUCUUACUGGGACUGGCACUUUUCUGUACCAAAAGAAGAACUGAAGGAUGUUCUUACAAGAGGACACAAACCAAUGUCACAGAUGACUUUAUGUACAUGAUAAAUCUUGACUAUGAGGGAUUGUUCUCUGCAGAUAUUGAUAAAGCCUUUGAUGUGAUCACCUCAUUACCUGGUGUUGAAUGUCCUACUGGUUCUGACAAACUAGACAGGCGAGAGCCUCAAACUGAGGACUCUGACAUAUACCAUGUGUACUGCACUAUCCCUGACGACCAACCUCCAUCAGCCCCGAAUGACAUGGUGUACAGCACAGUGCAGACUCACUGAAAAUGUUUUAUACCUAAAAGGAAUGUAGAUAUCUUGUUUAACAUUUGCAUCAAAUAACUAUUUGCAUAUUCUAACUACGUCAUUCAAUAGCCACAGUACUCUAUAUUAGGUGUUGAAGUGAAACAAUUAUAGUAAACAUAUCUACAAACUGUUUGUCCUCAACACAAAUGUUCAUACAUUUAUUUGCAAAAUAUUCUCUGUAAAUGUUUUUUCUAAAAUAUUUGUUCCUGGCAACCUAACACACUCUGGUUAAAUGCCUCCACCAACCAGUCAAGUUGCAGUUUACAUCCAUGUCUGUCCAGACUCAUAGAAUCAUGUGGUGAUCACUUAAAGAAUUAUAUAUAUAUGAUUAUAUAUACAUAUAUAUAUGUUUAAUUGUAUAUAUGUGUAGAAAAUUACAAAGUUUAUUGUUUCAGCUAAAUUAAAGGUAUCACUUUACUGGUGGUGUGAAUGAUUUCAGUGAAUAUACAUGUUUGAACUGAUGAAGGAUUAUUAUAGAUUUAUUGGCUAAACAGGUACACAUGCAAUUGAUCACAUGUAAUUGAUUAAAAAUGGAGUAUAGAUAUACAGAAUGUGGUGCUUUUGUUUUAUUCUUUCCAUUUUUGGAUUAGAAGCUUCUCUCUGAGCUGUAGGUGAAACUCACUCACUCACAGGAUCACCAUUAGUCAUUCUGAUGACGCUCUAAAUCCAGAAUGAGGCAAAUUAUGGCUAAAAAUCUAUGUUGAGGUCACAAUAACCUUGACCUUUGACCGCCAAAAUGGAAUCAUUUCUUCUUUGAGUCUAAGUGGAUGUUUGUGAUGAAUUUGAAGAAAUUCCUUCAUGGCGUUCCUGAGAUGUUGAGUUUACAAGAAUGGGACAACCUGAAAACAUCUUGGCUGUUGCCGGUGUGGAGGCAUAAAAAGUCAAAGUUCACUUGGAAUCACUGGACUUGAUAAAUAAAUGUAUAAAAGUACUUGAUUGAUAAAGUACUCAGAAGUGCAACUUACUUUCCAUUUAAAUAUUUUUUAGGGUGUGAUUACAACAGCAAUUAUGGAAGUAAUAUUGAUGUUGAAGUUAAUUUAAAAGCCUGACAGACC